GACGAACGCUGGCGGCGUGCUUAACACAUGCAAGUCGAACGGAAAGGCCCUGCUUGCAGGGUACUCGAGUGGCGAACGCGUGAGUAACACGUGGGUGAUCUGCCCUGCACUUCGGGAUAAGCCUGGGAAACUGGGUCUAAUACCGGAUAGGAGCCAUCUUUAGUGUGAUGGUUGGAAAGUUUUUUCGGUGUAGGAUGAGCUCGCGGCCUAUCAGCUUGUUGGUGGGGUAAUGGCCUACCAAGGCGGCGACGGGUAGCCGGCCUGAGAGGGUGGCCGGCCACAUUGGGACUGAGAUACGGCCCAGACUCCUACGGGAGGCAGCAGUGGGGAAUAUUGCACAAUGGGCGCAAGCCUGAUGCAGCGGCGCCGCGUGGGGGAUGACGGCCUUCGGGUUGUAAACCCCUUUCGCUAGGGACGAAGCUUUUGUGACGGUACCUAGAAAAGAAGCACCGGCUAACUACGUG
rnacentral:rRNA from 1 species